rnacentral:lncRNA from 1 species
CAUUUACUAUAAGGCUGCUAUAUAAAGUUUACAACAAUCCCUUCUCAAUCACAAAGUGAGUGGGGAGCAUAUAUCUAUCCUAUAGAUCUUACAAUGCUAGCAACAUGUAUUAGAUGUUUCUUUACGAUGUUCAACUUCAGAAUUAGAGAUGUGAUGCAUGUAAUUAAAGCUUCAAGGCUUUUACUGUGCACAAUAACUUAUAUUUAAUAACCUAUUAAUGGUGUGAAUAUCUAUAAAAAAAUAACAUAAAAGUUGAAUGGUAAUUGAAUCUCUACAAGAACAAAACAGCCAAUGGAGGUAUACAUGGCAGAAGAAAUUAUCAAGUACAUGUACAAGGAAUGCACUAAAUCCACUGUUAAGUUAGCUAUCAUUUUUGUUGAUCAAGUUGUCCGCUACAAAACCGAGGGGAAAAGCUGGCAGCUCCUCCCUUCUUCUCCGCUGUUAACCCAACUUCAAGAUGAUGUGUUUUAACCCGAGUUGCAGCCUCAUAUAACAGCUGCCACAUGUGCUUCUUAUCAUUCCCAGAUUCAAACAUUGCUUUGCUUUCUUCUCCCAGGGAUUCCGGACUCUGUUUGAAGAGAAAUUCUAAGUUUACUCAAUUCUAUUCAAAUUCAAUUAUAGCCGACUCGGUGAAUGAAUUGUUGCUUGGUAAAAUCUCGAGGCUAGGAUUUGAUCACGCCUUUGCAUAUGACUUCAGCAUAACAACUUUCAGAAUGGAGAAUAGCGUGAGAUAUACGUCAUCAAUGACAAGUUUAUAUACAAUUUUCAACGGUGAAGACAAGAGCUGCCAGACCAGAACAUUAUUUGAUAUUUACACUACAGAUAACGAAUUAAUAUACAAGUACAUGGAAAGUCUAUAUUGACAGUUGAAGGAGCUUAUACUUGUUGAGCUUCCAGACAGUGUGUCCUGGUCAUAUAUUUUCCAGAAUUAUGAAAAGUGCUUCAGAAUCAAAUGUUACCCUUGAGAGCCCAGACUUUAAUAUGAACUACUAUUUGCUACAAAUAAUUUUUAUGGAAUGCCACUUCUUUUGUCUAGAAAAUAAUCAAAACUCACAAAUUGAUUAUUUUCAAAGCGUAGUUACAACCACACAGAGACAGACUUGAAUUCAGGAGUCAAUGCACACGUGGAAGAGUAUUGACUAUGAUGUCAAAUAAUUAUUUACUAGUACCAAUCAAGCAUUAAAGAUUCAUUACCCGAUUUUACUCUGGUGUUACCAUUAUGAGUAAAUGCUAAUAUCACACACUUACUACCAGUUUCUCACUACCAAGAACUAAUAAAGGAUAUUAUUUUGGUGACAACUCUUAGAAUACAAAUAGUGAACUUGUUUAUUUUACAAAUAAAGUUUAAUAUAAAUAGGGGGGAAAGUAAAAACAAUAGAAAAGGCCCCUCGAGGGGAAAACAUUAUCAUUGCCAAAGACAAAGGCUUAAAAUGGUUAUUAAAUUUCCCAAACAGAAUGUUAAUCAAGCUAGGUUAACCUCAUUUUGGACAAAUAUAGGGAAAUUUCCAGCAAUCAGAGCAGGGGCAAUUUUGGAGACAGCAAGGUUAACUGGAUAGUUGAAGGGUGGUAUGGCUAAAACAACCCCCAAUGGAAUCUGCAAUUCAUAGUUGCAAUCUAUUUUCAACGAAAUAUUCUUUUCUAAAUACAAAACUGACAACUAUAAUCAAUUGAGAUGUUUUUCAAAAAGGACAAAUAUUAGUAAAGAAAGGAGGAAAAAUAAAAACAUAAAAGUGGAAACUUUUAGUCAAACGGAGGUAAUAAUAUAUUGAAAUCAUUGAAUCAUUUUGAGAAGAAAAAUAAAAACAUAAAAGUGGAAACUUUUAGUCAAACAGAGGUAAUAAUAUAUUGAAAUCAUUGAUAAUUCAGAUACUAAUCAAUCUAUGUAAUGUUUAUGAGUUAAAAAUGAACAACAUACUGGAAAAGAGCCAAAAAUGUAAACUUAAACAUCAAAAUCAACCUCCUCAGAGUUUAUCCACACCACAUCAUACCAGUUCUAAUUAUCACCCAGAAUAAAGAAAUAACAAUUCUCAAAACACCAAACACAAAAAGGGGAAAUAUUUACAACAAUUUGACCGGAAUUUUACAUCAAGGGUAGACAUAAAUACAUCAAAACAGUCAACUACAUUCAUAAAGAGGCAAAUACAAGUUUUAAAAUUACAAGCAGUCAUUUUCUUAAAUGGGUACGAAAUUAAUCAAACACUUAGACAUUGCCAAGCCAUUCAAAAUUGUUUAGAAAUUGUCAAAAAUAACAACACCAUCAUUCGUGUAUUCAUGUAUAUAUCAAUGUAUUUAGAGAGAAUUGAAGAAAAAUAUUUGGCCCUAUAUUAAAUUACACAAAUUAAAGACUUUAGAACUCACAAUUUAAGGAACAAGAAGUAGUGAUAAGAUUCCAUCCUAGCUCGGAGUCGGAGAUGAGGUUCCGUCCAACUUUUGGUCCGACGUACGAUUAGGGCAGAAACAGAGAUGAAAAAUUGAGAUAUAGGGUUCUGACUUUUGGGUUAAGGGCUUAGGUUAGGGCAGAAACAGAGAUGAGAAAUCGAGAUCUGAGAAUCUGAGGGUCUGAGGAAUGAUCGGAUGAGAGAUCGGGAUGAGAGAUGUUAGAACUCAGACGAGAGAUGAGAGAUGAGAGAUGAGAGAUCGAGAGUUCGACUGUUAGAGAUCGAGAGAAAUCGGGGCUGAGAAAUGAAAUGAGAGUUGAGACUAAUUAGGACUAAUAGACU